UUUCCUAGCUAAAUUUAGAGUAAUUUUGAACUUAGAAGUCAUGAUGAUUCACGCCGGAUAUAAAGAAAAUGAAUUUAUUUUAAUUCCAACAAAAAUGAUUUAAAAAAAAAAACAUUUGUAAAUUUAGUUAUUAAAUUUAUAUGCAUUUCAUAUUUAUUUAUAUUAAGCAUUUAGCAUCUACACGAGAUAUUUAUUUAAGCAAACAUUGAACGAUUAUAGUACAACCCGAAAGAUUUUUUUUAUUUAUUUAUUUUAUAUACUCCCACUACACCCACAACAUACCUAAUUGAUCCAACUCAAUCACAAGUGGCUCCACGGAUCAAUUAAUCACAAGUGGCUCCACACCAAGCCUCUUAAACAAAGAUUCCACCUCAGAAGAGUACCUUUACACCACAACAUUCAAUAAACACACUUGAAAGCAAAAAGAAAAAUUCCACUCGAAAUAAACAAAUGCAAGUCGAUCAUUAAAAAGCAGGAGUCGAUUUACUCCCUUCUCAUCCCCAUUCUCGGCCUCCCCUCUCUCUCUCUAUACUCUCUUUUCCUCCAUUGAUGUCCAUUGAAGAAAGCUUAGAGAAGCUUCAUCAAACACUACUAUGAGAUAAUCCACCAUCCAAUCCAAUCAAAUACUAUCAUAUCUCAUCAAAUUCAAGAAGCUAGAGCUAAGAUCAAAGUUGGAGCAAAGUCUUGAUCACCUUUUAAAUCCUUGAGCUUUGUGAUGACCAGGAGGAUUAGCGCUAUUUUUCCAAGACAGGUUUAUAUGUGUAUGAUCUUCAGGCUUUGCCUAUCCAGAUGGGCUUACUUUCCAAAUGUACAAAGUAUGAUUGAGUUAUUAAGCUCUAAAUGUUUCAAUGAAAUGCAAAUUGUUUAUUUAAUGUAAUGAAAACUGUUUAUCCAAUAAAAUGUUUUUGUGCACUCUGCUCUGUUUAAGGCUCGCAAUUCAUGGAUCGAUCGAGGUUCUCUUAUGGCCUAACACGUUAUUUGAGAAUUGUGUACACUUGUUAGUUGUUUCGGUGGGUUGAUCUCCAUCGGACACUAAUUCAUGUAAGAGGCGUUAUAAGGGUGCUUGGCUGGAUGUGUUCCGGAGCAUGUAUCAUGUAAGGCCUGCCUGGGUAGCGUCCCGAGGUCAAUUCAACUUGUCUGAGUUACGUCCUCAGGGCAAGUGUCAUGGGAGUAAUGGAUCCGUCGGUGGCUAAAAGGUCCGGGAUCACAGCGAGUAACAGAAAGGGAGUGUGACAUGUGCGCACAAAUGAAAGAAAAUGUUUUAACAUGCUUAGAAGUACUUCUUUCAAUUUAAAACCUUCUAAGUCAUGUCAAGUAUGAUUGGAUAAACUGCUCUUUACGAAAAUAUAAAAUGUUUCAGAAAAUGCAUGCCCACUAAGUACAUUAGUACUUAGCCCAAAAAUACUUUCAAAUGUUUUCAGGUUGGCUGGCCGGUGCUGACGGGACGGAGCUGAGGCUAGCGAUAAAUUCAUAUGUUAGACUUCCGCUGUAGCAAUUACUCAUAUCAGUCUUUUGUUUUUCCCAACUUAAAAUCUUCAUGUUAAAUUUCAAAUGAUAUACCUGAUCGAGCUUAGACUCUUCACUACUAAAUUUAUGCCAAUGAAAGUCGGUUGUCAGAAGCAUGAAACAAAACUUGUGAUCCAAAGGGGCAUAGCCCGACUUUCUAUCCUAUUUCGGGUUUUAACAAGGUAUUUUCCUUGUUUAUUUCUAUGAAUUAGUUGCACCUCGAUUAUAUUUAUUCAUUCAAGAAUUGGGGUGUGACAGAAUGGUAUCAGAGCAUAAGUUUCCUUUCAUGACUCUGAUAACCAUAAGCUUUUGAUGUCGAGUCUAGAAUAGUAUCUCUAGACUUCUAAGAAUGUCAAUAGCCCUCAGCUCACCGUCACACUGCCGCAACUAAGGUAUGAUAAUAGUUUCAAAAAUAUAUAUGUAUAUUCAAAGCUAUGAAAAUUUUCAAGAAAAUGUGCGCCUUAUGUUUAUGGUGUUAUGUGAAUGCAAAUUAUCCUUCAUGUUGUUAUUUUGGGUCUCUGACUCAUAUAACUAAGCUCAAUGUCGUGUUUGGGACUACCCGAGCCCUUAACGAAUCAAUGUAUGUAUGGUCGAGUUAGAUUCCUUGAAUCUUUCCGACAUAAGCAAAAGUUUUUCAUGAAAGGGACAUUUAAUGUCCAUAUGACUCAAAAUUUCAAAGAAAGCAAAUAUAUGUAUGUAUGUAUGUAUGAAUGAAUGAUGAGAAAGCUUUAUGUUAUCAUUUUAGGUUCACUGCCUAUAUGAUUAGAAUGAUGAGUUCUUUUACAAAUCGUUUGAGAACCACCCAAGAAUGCUUUGAGAAUGUUAAUCGUGAUAGCACCGCUUGAUCGAUUUAAGUAAAGACUGGUAAGAUAGAAAUGUUUAACAUAGAUAUGUUACAACAUAGAGGCAAUGCCUUAAGACUAAGGAUUCACUUGAGCUAUUUCAAUAGCGGUGAGAUUAAGUUUUUCACAUAAUAACUUAUGUUUCUUAUGAUUAUGAUGUUAGUCGUGAUAGCUUUGCUAGAACGGCAUAGAAUGGACUUUCAUGGUACCAGUGACUUAUGAUGAAGUACUUGUUAGUAAGUGUUUUAAGUUAGAAGUUUGACCAGAGCCUUACAUGAAUAAGACGUUGACAUGAUUGGGGGCGAAACUCCCAUUUGACUGAGUGAUUUGUUUUGUUGGGUCUGGCCAGCCCACAUGACUAAGAUCUCGGUGAUUGUCAAUUAAGAUUUUUGAUCUCGAGGUAGAGCAUCAUCACAAUAUAUAGAGACUCGUACUAUAUAGUUGUCCCAAUAAGAUUUUCUUUGAUCACGAUAAGCAUAAUAUGAUUAGAAUGAGUUCGUUUGUCACCAGUUCUCGAGACUAUAGACAUGGUGUUCUCACAAUUAGAAAGAUGCGAUAACAAUCAAGCUAUGUAGCCGCAAUGAUAGUGAAGUCUAGUAUCCCAAACUAGAUUAUCCAGAUAUGCAAUUUCGAGGACGAAAUUUUUAUAAGGAGGGAGGGAUGUAACACCCCGCUUUUUCCUAGCUAAAUUUAGAGUAAUUUUGAACUUAGAAGUCAUGAUGAUUCACGCCGGAUAUAAAGAAAAUGAAUUUAUUUUAAUUCCAACAAAAAUGAUUUAAAAAAAAACAUUUGUAAAUUUAGUUAUUAAAUUUAUAUGCAUUUCAUAUUUAUUUAUAUUAAGCAUUUAGCAUCUACACGAGAUAUUUAUUUAAGCAAACAUUGAACGAUUAUAGUACAACCCGAAAGAUUUUUUUUAUUUAUUUAUUUUAUAUACUCCCACUACACCCACAACAUACCUAAUUGAUCCAACUCAAUCACAAGUGGCUCCUCGGAUCAAUUAAUCACAAGUGGCUCCACACCAAGCCUCUUAAACAAAGAUUCCACCUCAGAAGAGUACCUUUACACCACAACAUUCAAUAAACACACUUGAAAGCAAAAAGAAAAAUUCCACUCGAAAUAAACAAAUGCAAGUCGAUCAUUAAAAAGCAGGAGUCGAUUUACUCCCUUCUCAUCCCCAUUCUCGGCCUCCCCUCUCUCUCUCUAUACUCUCUUUUCCUCCAUUGAUGUCCAUUGAAAAAAGCUUAGAGAAGCUUCAUCAAACACUACUAUGAGAUAAUCCACCAUCCAAUCCAAUCAAAUACUAUCAUAUCUCAUCAAAUUCAAGAAGCUAGAGCUAAGAUCAAAGUUGGAGCAAAGUCUUGAUCACCUUUUAAAUCCUUGAGCUUUGUGAUGACCAGGAGGAUUAGCGCUAUUUUUCCAAGACAGGUUUAUAUGUGUAUGAUCUUCAGGCUUUGCCUAUCCAGGUUGGCUGGCCGGUGCUGACGGGACGGAGCUGAGGCUAGCGAUAAAUUCAUAUGUUAGACUUCCGCUGUAGCAAUUACUCAUAUCAGUCUUUUGUUUUUCCCAACUUAAAAUCUUCAUGUUAAAUUUCAAAUGAUAUACCUGAUCGAGCUUAGACUCUUCACUACUAAAUUUAUGCCAAUGAAAGUCGGUUGUCAGAAGCAUGAAACAAAACUUGUGAU